rnacentral:tRNA from 1 species
UAGGGUGUGGCUCAGUGGUAGAGCACUUGUACAGCCUGCAGGAGGCUCUGGGUUCCAUCCUCAGUGCUGCAA